rnacentral:lncRNA from 1 species
AGGGCCAUGCUUGUUGUCUGGUCUUCAGGAGAGACUGAUGCGAGUUGACUGCACCUAAGAACCUCUCUGCUGCUUUGUACUGCCUGCCCGUGUCUGCUACAAUCCCAAGACCUUUGAGUACUAGGAAGGCAGAUGUAAUGGGAUCUAUGUGAGUCCGAGGCCAGCCUGAGAUGAAGGCAAGUUCCAGAACAGAAAAGGCUGGUGUACUGAGAAACCCUGUCUUUAAAAAAGAAGAAAAAGAAAAACCCAAGCAACAACAAAGACAAGCGAACAAAAAGAAAUGGAAGGCCACACAGCUCUGUGCUUGUUCUUAAGGAGUUCAGUUUGACUUUGCAAGGUUUUGAUUUUUAUUAACCUCUUCUUGUUGCUCUUAAAGAAGAAUUUCAACACAAAUUUAAUAAAAGCCUUUUCUUUUCCUUUU